GAGAGAGAUGUAAGAACUGCUAAUUCUACGCACCAUACAUAAAAAUAUGGCUCUCUCA
rnacentral:tRNA from 5 species